GAUGAACGCUGGCGGCGUGCCUAAUACAUGCAAGUCGAACGAAACUUCCUUAUCACCGCGUGCUUGCACUCACCGAUAAAGAGUUGAGUGGCGAACGGGUGAGUAACACAUGGGCAACCUGCCCAAAAGAGGGGGAUAACACUUGGAAACAGGUUCUCAUACCGCAUAACCAUAGUUACCGCAUGGUAACUAUGUAAAAGGUGGCUAUACUACCGCUUUUGGAUGGGCCCGCGGCGCAUUAGCUAGUUGGUAGGGUAAAGGCUUACCAAGGCAAUGAUGCGUAGCCGAAUUGAGAGGUUGAUCGGCCACAGUGGGACUGAGACACGGCCCAAACUCCUACGGGAGGCAGCAGUAGGGAAGCUUCCACAAUGGGCGAAAGCCUGAUGGAGCAACGCCGCGUGGGUGAAGAAGGGCUUCGGAUCGUAAAACCCUGUUGGUAGAGAAGAAAGUGCGUGAGAGUAACUGUUCACGUUUCGACGGUAUCUAACCAGAAAGCCACGGCUAACUACGUG
rnacentral:rRNA from 1 species